rnacentral:rRNA from 1 species
UACGGAGGGUGCAAGCGUUAAUCGGAAUUACUGGGCGUAAAGCGUGCGCAGGCGGUUUGUUGAGUCUGCUGUGAAAUCCCCGAGCUCAACUUGGGAAUUGCAGUGGAUACUGGCAGGCUGGAGUAUGGUAGAGGAAGGUGGAAUUCCCGGUGUAGCAGUGAAAUGCGUAGAGAUCGGGAGGAACACCAGUGGCGAAGGCGGCCUUCUGGACCAAUACUGACGCUCAUGCACGAAAGCGUGGGGAGCAAACAGG